UGGGCCACCUCGUGGAUCAGAGGCUGAUGAGGAUGCCAGUGCAAGACAGUAGCCCCCCCACACAUCCAACAGGCACGACCGCAACUAUGCCACCAACAAAGUGCUCAUUGCUGCUGUCGGCUCCACCGUCACCUGGCAGGGAAAGCUUAAAGGGCUCUUUUACAGGGCUCAGCUGAUCAUACCGAAAUCCCUUUCACUUAGCUCUGUCCUGCUGCUGCUGCUGAAGUCAGUAGCACAAGUGCUUUGCCUUCAGUCUUGCUGGAGUAUGUCCUGCUUGGUCAAAAAAAGGUGUAGGCUGUGAUGGUGCAUAAGAGGCAAGUGGAGAGGCAGGAGCUACUGCUCCUUUCAUUGUUGCUGUAUUAUUGCUCAUCAUUUAUCAUAACUGCUGUUUCACUGUUAAUUGCUGUUCAUCUGAGGAAUGUGCAUGGAGCGCAUUUCCUAUUUGAAACAGAGAGAGAGGGAGCAUCUCAAAAAACCCCUGAGGAUUUUUGAGAUCACAAACCUCAAAAAGAUAACAAAAUUAGCACACAUAAUUCCCCUUGAUUUUCUUUAUGCCUGCAGACAAGGUUAGCAGCAAUCCUUGUUUCUGAGAGCCUGCUUUGUCUCCUCUACCAAGGAACCUGGAAUGAGGCACUUCUGUGAUGAAAGAAAGUAGGACCUCUUCAUGGGAAAAGGCAGGCAUGAUCUGGAUGCUUCAGAGGAUCAUCUUGGGAGAUGAUAAUUCAUUUCCUAUUAUCAGUCAAUGCCUGUAACCACCUGCUUUUGGAGGAGAAUGCCAGGAUGAUGUCACCCAAAGGCCACAGGGAAAUACUGCAGCGCAAGUGGGAAAUAGCAUUUCCCCUGUUCAAGUGCUUCAGUGAAAUGGGUUUUGCAAUGGGAAUUUGUGCCUUUUCCAGCAGUGCUGCUGCACCUAGAGAAUAUGCAAGAUGAAAACCACAGCAAGUCUUGAGUUGCACCAAGGCUGUUGGCAGCUGUGGAGCUGCUCGCUGAGCCGGGGCACAGUAAGUGCUGUUACAGUCUCCCUUCUCCCCUCGCUGGGCUCCACGUGGCCCUUGUUGGAUAGCAGGCAGACUUCUCUUCCUCCCUAUCCUUUCAGGGUCUAGUGUUCCCACUGCUGCUGUGCCAGGUGUCAGAACACCCUGUCUGUACUCCAUCUCUGCACUGCCAUGGCCACACAUCUGUGUCUGCAGUUAAGCCUGAGCCUUGCUUAUGCCUGCCAUUCAAUCACUGGCGGCUACAGCCUCACGAUAGCGCUCAAGUGUGAACCUUGAGAGAGAUCAGCUGUCUUUCCUUAUAGUUUCAGG